rnacentral:sRNA from 1 species
GCCGGGCAUGGUGGCACAUGCCUGUAAUCCCAGCAGCUGGGUAGGCUGAGGCAGGAGGAUCAUGAGUUCGAAGCCAGCCCCAGCAAAAAUGAGGCACUCACUUAGCAACUCAGUGAGACCCUAUCUCUA